CGACUCGUUUUGACUGCCGAGGUGGUAGUGGCCGGAAACAACAACAUUGACAACAACAACAACAACAACGCGUGGUUUUCUCCAGGGCACUUGGCUCUCCAGUACAGCUGCAAGUGAUCUCCUAAUAAUGCCCCAGCACAAGUACUCCUGAGAUCCAGGCAGCCAGCGCCAGUUUGUUUCAGUCACUCACGUGUUGUUUGGAAUCGGCGUUACCUAUGCUACCCGCCUCGCCUAUCUCCACUCCUCCGUCCAUUGGACUACCACCUCCCCUUUUGCAAGAUUUUCUGUACAACUGAGCAUUCAUUAAAACCCUUUUUCUGUGGCCAGGAUAGCUCAGUUGGUGGAGUGGGCUCACAUAUGCAGAGGUUUAUGCUUCGACGCAGAAGGUUAAGGGUUCGAGUCUGAACUGGGACAAUUUCCUGCAUGUGUUCCCCUUCUAUGUCCCCCCUUCACAACUUUCAUAUCCAUUCAAGGUGGAAAUGCCCAAAAAAUUAUCUUUAAAAAAUCAAAAACUUUUGCUAACCCAAAACCUUCGAGUGUAUGCUCUUGAGUCCAGACCUAGAAGACAUAACAGAGGCAUUCUCUUAUUAAAUAUGCACUAAUUUGCAUAAAUGUCCAGAACUGAAAUCUGAAUAUUGGAUAAAGCCAGGUUUGAAAUUCUUGUUUAAUUUUGUUUACGUAUUAGCCUACGGUUUUUACAAAGAGAAAAAAAACGAUUUUAUGAGCAAUGACGAAGUCCACCCUACCUCACCCUUAUCCCACCUGCUGUGUCAACGAUGCCCCAGAAAUUCUGCUGUGUCACCUGCUACUCUCCCCCUGAAGGUAAGAAUAUGUAGAUUGUAAUAAAAUCCAACCAUUUAAUCAUUGAGUAUAUUUAGUAAUAAAUAAUUGAAUAGAUUUUCUGAUGUCUCUAGCCUUUGCCUGUGGCUCCCUCUGAUCAGCAGCCUUCCACAACAUGACCUGGAGAUGAGCACGCAGAAUGUGCAGCAUAACAUUGACAUCAAAUGGAGGAAGAUUGUUAAGUUGAUGUGGUUUUUUGCUCCGUCUGUAGAUCUUGUAGUGGGCAAAUUGACUUGCUGUUCUUCUGCCCAUACAGUGCGAGUAAAAACUCAGUCCCCAUAUCUUUUAGGUCACUGUGACUGGCAUCAAGUUACCCAAGCACUGUAUUAAGAUCAGGAGUGGCGCAACUUUGGAGUACUUUAAUGCAGUCUUGUUCUUUCCAAGGGAUAGGAGACAGUGUCACAUCCCGACAGCGCAUGCAUCCCCAGGAGACCUUGCCUUUUGUCACCCAAUGCCUUGAAGGUGGCAUUUAUGUCCUGGAUGGUUCUAUCCCACUUCCUGUCAACUUGUCCUCAGUAGCACCAACUGGUAGCACCAACUCCUGCUCGUCUUCUCUUCUCAUGAUCUUUGGGACCGGGGUCAUCAUUGUAACAGUCAAAGAUUAUGAGGGUCUUGUUAGCUCCAGCUGCAGUAUCGACAUUGGCCAGGCAUGUAUUGAUGCUAGAGGCAAUGUCCCUGAUUGUACCUGCCACAGGCCAGACAAUGUGGUAGACCAGUCUGGACAUGUAUCAGUUGGGACAACAUUGGGAAGUGGAGUAUUGCCAUCAGGUACUCCCAAUUUCUUGACGAGGAAAGACUUAUCACCUUUUCUCAGACAACCAAAUUCAUCUAUGAGUGAUAAUGGAACAGGGCUGAGCAAAUUAUCAAAGACCUCUUUAAGUUCCAUGCCGCACUGCUACCCCACGACUAAGAGUCGAGCAAAGAGGGCUUCCAUGUCAUAGAUUGACUUGCCUUUACAGUCAUAGCUUUCUUCAUCACCUCCAUGGUUUUGACUCUCUUAUCAAUGGUGCUAUGAAAGCCUUCUGGAAGGGAAGCUGCAAAAUCUCUGCUUUACAGUUCACCAAUCUGAAAAGCAUUCUGCACAUUCACAGAAUCUGGUGCCACCUGUCCUUUAACGAUGUUGUACAGGAUGUGCUGAUUCUUUUUCAAGGAAUGAGAGUGUUUCUGAAACUCCAUCAUGAUUUUCUAAUGAUUGCUUUGAUCCAGCUCUCUUCUCUCACCUUCCUUCUUGUGUUUCUAUCUACUGUGCUUCUCCUUUCCAUCCCAAUGUGCAUUUUCUUCCUCCUCUGGAUUUGUCCUGACUUGUGUACAUUUCCUCCCCUGUCUGGGAAAGAUGGGAGCAAAUGGGAUGUAAAUUGAUCCACACUGCAACUUGCUCUUCACUGGUUAAGAUGCCUUUCAACCCACCUUAUUCUUUCCCUUGUUUAAUGUAGGUCUGCUCGACAAACAUGUCAGCAGAUAUAACAGUUCCACCAUCAGAGUGGCAGCAGAGGUGAGCCACAGCUGAAAGAUCCCGCUUGGCCUCAUAUGGAAGGUUCUGCACCAUCCUAAGGCAGCAGGUGAUGAAACAUGCACAAUUAUGGUACCCAGCACUGAAGAAGUACAGCACCAUCCGCUCCUGGCAGGGCUGCUGUAAGAGGAAGUCUAUAUGCACGAAGGAAGUGAAGUGAGAUGAAGGUGGGAGGAAUCAUACAGUCCAUCCAGAGCCUACCUGUAGGGUGCUCAUGUGCCUUUUCCAGGUAUUCUGUGGUCAUCUUUCAGAAGAUCUUGGAGGACAGCCACAAGCAUCCUAUAUGCAUGCAGUGCAUUUGUCCAGGAUUUGCUAUUGAGAAUGUUGGCGAUGCCACUGAAAGCAGAGCUUCCAUGCCAGAAGCCUUCAUCAAGGUUCCAAUGCAGCCAAGGAAUGACAUUAGAGUGUGCAUCAUGCUGGGAUGAAUGAAUGGUGAUAGCUACUUCUGCUACUUGGGCGGAGUGAUUUGCUCGUGAAGCAGCUCUGUUGUAAAUGCUAACGGUGUUCUGAUAGCACAAUGACAUCAUGUUAGAAAGCACAGCCAAACGAUUUGUCAUAAACUAAUUAACAAUAGUGUUAGCUACGAUGCUAACGUAAUUAAUAACUAAGCCAACGGUGCUGUCACUACUAUUUUAUUGAUUUCUAAGCAACCUGUUUCUUGCAAGUUGUCACGUCACUGAGAAUACAAUUAUUUGAAGGUAAUAUAUGAAGUCGAAGCUAACUCUGACAGCUGGAGGGCAGCUAACAUUAAGUUUAGCUUUCUCCUAAAGCUAAUGUUACUAUAAUGCAGUUAGGAAA